UCAGCACUCAAAUUCUGAGUGUCCGGACGAUGUGCGACGUACCCGGUGAAGACAAGACGACGCUUU
rnacentral:ncRNA from 1 species